rnacentral:lncRNA from 1 species
GCGAGAGAGCGCGAGGGAGGGAGGGCGGGCGCAGGGAGGAGGGAGGGGAGGGGAGCGGGAGGAGGGGGAGGAGGAGGAGGAGAGAGCAGAGUAUACCGCAGACAUCAUUUCUACUACAGUGGCGGAGCCGUACAGGACCUGUUUCACUGCAGGGGGAUCCAAAACAAGCCCCGUGGAGCAGCCGCCAGAGCGACAGCAGCCGCAAGACAUUGUUUCUCUCCCUCUGUCCCCCCUUCCCCACGCAACCCCAGAUCUAUUUACACUUUACAGAGCAUCGUGCACCGAGUCACCAGGGUGGUCCAUUCAAGCUGCAGAUACGUUUGUCCUCCUUACACAGCAAUCUCGUCCCCCACUGCCACCACAGGGAAGUACAUCGCAUGUCAGAGGAUUGGCUUAAGUUGGCUCCAGAUGUUGCUUGGCAUCCAGAGUCCCAGGGAGACGAUGAACUUUUGACUUUUCAAAGAGCUUCUCUGGGUCACCGCUCAGCGCGCAAGACUUGGCAGACAGGAACUCUUUCUCUCUCCGGUGUGCUGUGCUGUGCUGGGUGGUGGUGUGGCCCUCACUGUGCAGUGGAGGGAGCUCAGGCUGCAGUGGGGUGGCCGUGGGAAGCACAGAUCGUCCAUCGCCCCUGCCUGCCUCUCCCAGUGCUUCAUUUUCUCCCCUUCCCUGGACCAGUGAAGGGAUCUUAGCCAGCUCAUGUCCAGUCCGGAGGAAGAAAGGUCACGUUCCUCAGCCAGCACAGGGAACCCCGGAUUGACUUUCUGAUGUCAAUUUCGCUGUUGUUGUUGCUUUUCGGGUUUUUUCUUUUUUUUCUUCUUUUUUUUUGUAUUUACCUGCAGAGCCUCUCCCUUCACAGACACUGGGAAUGGAAGAGGCCUUGAGAUUCGCUCCCGUGCGCUUGCCUGGCAGCUCCAGUCGACAUCACAGCUGUAAUCAUAUGUGAUGAAUUUUUAUUUACAGAUUAGUAGACUCUGACUCUGACAUAUGACUAGCCGGGAAGCUCCUCCCUACAACAGUUGUGUGUCAUCUGCUUCAGAGAACUAAUUGCUUGGCAAUUCCCCCUUGGUAAUUCCCUCUUUAUUUUCUGAUGAGUUACUUAACAGUGAUGGGCUUGUUGAGCCGAGGAUGGAGUUUACCGUGGGCUCCUGAAACACCACCGUCGGCCUGGAAUUCUGUUGUGCUUUCCUGAAGAAACACUGGGACCAUUAUGUGGCCUGUUCAUAUUUCACUCAGUCCUGGGUUCCACACAGAGCCGUGUACAGUCUUCCAAGGGGAAUCAAAAGCAGGCCUCUUUCCAGACAUGUACCCCCGUGCAUUGGAAAAUUAUUAAAAAGGAAUUUAAUCUUUCUAGAAUGUUCAGUGCUCUUUUAAAAAUAUGAUUCGAAAUGGAGUAGCUCUCGACUCUGCUGCCGAGAGAGUGCGCUUGAGAAGAAAGC